UACGAAGGGUGCAAGCGUUACUCGGAAUUACUGGGCGUAAAGGGUGCGUAGGUGGUUUGUUAAGUCUGCUGUGAAAUCCCCGAGCUCAACUUGGGAAUUGCAGUGGAUACUGGCAAGCUGGAGUAUGGUAGAGGAAGGUGGAAUUCCCGGUGUAGCAGUGAAAUGCGUAGAGAUCGGGAGGAACAACCAGUGGCGAAGGCGGCUCACUGGCCCGGUACUGGACGCUGAGGUGCGGAAAGCGUGGGGAGCAAACAG
rnacentral:rRNA from 1 species